rnacentral:rRNA from 1 species
UACAGAGGGUGCAAACGUUGCUCGGAAUCAUUGGGCGUAAAGCGCACGUAGGCGGCCUAGCAAGUAGGGAGUGAAAGCCCUCGGCUUAACCGAGGAAGUGCUUUCUAAACUACUAGGCUUGAAUACUGGAGAGGGUCGCGGAAUUCCCGGUGUAGAGGUGAAAUUCGUAGAUAUUCGCAAGAACACCAGUGGCGAAGGCGGCUCACUGGCCCGGAACUGACGCUGAGGUGCGAAAGCGUGGGGAGCAAACAGG